CUUGGGGCAGGGCCCAGGCAAGGAUAAAAGAGCCCUGGGUCCAGAGCACCAACAUCCACUCUCCUCCUGAGGUGCCUACGGACCCUGUGCUGCCUGUGACCUUGCUCCUGAACGCCCGCCUGCCCAGAUGUCCUGCCAGCAGAGCCAGCAGCAGUGCCAGCCCCCUCCCAAGUGCCCCCCCAAGUGCCCUCCCAAGUGCCAAGCCCCCAAAUGCCCCCCAAAGUGUCCCCCUAAGUGUCCUCCAGUGUCCUCCUGCUGCAUCUCCAGCUCCGGGGGCUGCUGCGGCUCUGGGGGUGGGGGCUGCUGCAGCUCUGGGGGUGGGGGCUGCUGCAGCUCUGGGGGUGGCGGCUGCUGCCUGAGCCACCACAGGCCCCGCAGGUCGCACCGCCGCAGACAGCAGAGCUCGGGCUGCUGCAGCCAGCCCUCGGGGGGCUCCAGCUGCUGUGGAGGGGGCGGCAGCCAGUCAUCUGGGGACUGCUGCUGAGGGGGACCCUGAGCCUGGAAGAGGAGACUUGGAGACCAAUUAUUUUCCUUCCCCCUCUGCCCUGCUGCUGAGAGGUCUUGGUAGACUGAGCCCAAGCCUAGAGGAUUCUUCCUUCUUGGAGAACAGGACCUCAGACUUCUCCUCCAAGCUGUGCCCUGACCUCAUUCCCACUCUGUGCGUCUGCCCUGGAGCCCUAAAGCGGAGUGUGUGUCCCCCUGCAGCUCCACCCUGCAUCCCUCAGCCCGAUGGGGACAAUAAAGGCUGAAAUCUGCUUUUC